GUCAGGAUGGCCGAGCGGUCAAAGGCGCUGCGUUCAGGUCAUAAUCCACUUGUAGGCGUGGGUUCGAAUCCACUUCUGACA